rnacentral:sRNA from 1 species
CUUGGUCAUUUAGAGGAAGUAAAAGUCGUAACAAGGUCUCCGUUGGCGAACCAGCGGAGGGAUCAUUACCGAGUUUACAACUCCCAAACCCCUGUGAACAUACCACUUGUUGCCUCGGCGGAUCAGCCCGCUCCCGGUAAAACGGGACGGCCCGCCAGAGGACCCCUAAACUCUGUUUCUAUAUGUAACUUCUGAGUAAAACCAUAAAUAAAUCAAAACUUUCAACAACGGAUCUCUUGGUUCUGGCAUCGAUGAAGAACGCAGCAAAAUGCGAUAAGUAAUGUGAAUUGCAGAAUUCAGUGAAUCAUCGAAUCUUUGAACGCACAUUGCGCCCGCCAGUAUUCUGGCGGGCAUGCCUGUUCGAGCGUCAUUUCAACCCUCAAGCACAGCUUGGUGUUGGGACUCGCGUUAAUUCGCGUUCCUCAAAUUGAUUGGCGGUCACGUCGAGCUUCCAUAGCGUAGUAGUAAAACCCUCGUUACUGGUAAUCGUCGCGGCCACGCCGUUAAACCCCAACUUCUGAAUGUUGACCUCGGAUCAGGUAGGAAUACCCGCUGAACUUAAGCAUAUCAAUAAGCGGAGGAAAAGAAACCAACAGGGAUUGCCCUAGUAACGGCGAGUGAAGCGGCAACAGCUCAAAUUUGAAAUCUGGCUCUCGGGCCCGAGUUGUAAUUUGUAGAGGAUACUUUUGAUGCGGUGCCUUCCGAGUUCCCUGGAACGGGACGCCAUAGAGGGUGAGAGCCCCGUCUGGUUGGAUGCCAAAUCUCUGUAAAGUUCCUUCAACGAGUCGAGUUGUUUGGGAAU